rnacentral:rRNA from 1 species
CCUACGGGUGGCAGCAGUGGGGAAUAUUGCACAAUGGGGGCAACCCUGAUGCAGCGACGCCGCGUGCGCGAUGACGUCUUUCGGUAUGUAAAGCUCUAUCAGCAGGGAAGAAAAUGACGGUACCUGACUACGAAGCCCCGGCUAACUACGUGCCAGCAGCCGCGGUAAUACGUAGGGGGCAAGCGUUAUCCGGAUUUACUGGGUGUGAAGGGAGCGUAGACGGUCCUGCAAGCCAGAUGGGAAAGCCCGGGGCUCAACCCCGGGACUGCAUUUGGAACUGUAAGGCUAGAGUGUCGGAUAGGCAGGCGGAAUUCCUAGGGUAGCGGUGAAAAGCGUAGAUAUUAGGAGGAACACCAGUGGCGAAGGCGGCGUGCUGGACGAGGACUGACGUUGAGGCUCGAAAGCGUGGGGAGCAAACAGGAUUAGAUACCCCUUGUAGUC